rnacentral:rRNA from 1 species
UACGUAGGGUGCGAGCGUUGUCCGGAAUUAUUGGGCGUAAAGGGCUCGUAGGCGGUUUGUCGCGUCGGGAGUGAAAUCAUCUGGCUUAACUGGGUGCUUGCUUUCGAUACGGGCAGACUAGAGGUAUGCAGGGGAGAACGGAAUUCCUGGUGUAGCGGUGAAAUGCGCAGAUAUCAGGAGGAACACCGGUGGCGAAGGCGGAUCUCUGGGCCUUGCCUGACGCUGAGGCGCGAAAGCUAGGGGAGCGAACAGG